AUUAGAAAUUAAAAAUGUUAUCAUCUAAAAUGAGAAAUUUAAUAAAAGAGUUGGAAGAUAGAGUCAUGGAAAACUCUCACACAGUAAAACAAAGAAACUAUUUUUUAAAAAGAGAGGGAUAAAGUAAUAAAGUCCAGAGGUUCAAGCUAGGAAGUCCUACAUCCAGCCAAGAUGAGUUCCAGAAAAAGAGACCAGCGGAAAUCAAAGAAGAGAAAUGGUCAAAGAAAUAAUAAUGAUAACAUUUCCUACAACAAAAGGAUAUGUCUCCAAGUUGUAAGAGACCACUAAGUAAUUCACACUUACUAAUGAAUUUAACAAAAGAAGUGCAAAACAUAUUUUCAAAACUACAAAAUAUUGUCAAAGGAAAUUAAAGAAGAUAUAAAUGAUUUUUAAAAACGCAAGAUGGCUGUACUCCCCAAAGUAGUCUACAGAUUCAACAUCAUCCUUGUCAGACUUUGGGCUGCUUCUUUGUAGAAGAUGACAGGCUGAAUCUAAAGUUCACAUUGAACUUCAAGGAACCCAGAAGGGCCAAAUCAAUCUUAAAAUAGAAUAACAAAGUAGGAGGAUUUAUUCCUUCUAAUUUCAAAGCUUACUACAAAGCAAUAGUAAUCAAGACAGAGUGGUACUGGCACUAGGAUAGACAUACAAAUCAAUGGAAUAGAAUUGUGAGUUCAUAAAUAGACCUGUGUGUCUAUGAUCAACUGAUUUUUGACAAUGAUGCCAAGAGUAUUCAAUGAGAAAGUAACAGUCUCUUCAACAAUUGGUGCCAAUGCCAUUCAAUAGCUACAUGCAGAAGUAUGAAGUUAGACCCUUACUUUACAUCUUAAAAAAAUAAAAUCCAAAAUGAAUCAAAGACUUAAACAUAAGAGCUAAAACUCCUAGAAGUAAACAUAGGCAUAAAUUUUCAUGACCUUUUAACAAUGAUUUCUUAUAUAUGGCACCAAAAGCACAAUAAAUGAAAGAGAAAAAAGAUAAAUUUGAAUUCCUAAAAAUUAAAACUCUUGUAUAUCAAAGGACACUAUCAAGAAAGUGAAAAAACAAUCUCCAGAACUGAAGAAAACAUUUGCAAAUUGUAUGUCUAAUAAGGAUGUAGUACCAAUAUUACAUAUUUUAAAAUCUCUUAUAACUCAACAGAAAAAAGAAACAGUAGGCAAAGGACACAAAUACAUAUCUUUUCAAGGAAGAUACGCAAAUGUCCAACAAGCACAUAAAAAAAAGCUCAUCAUCAUUAAUUAUUAGGAAAAUGCAAAUCAAAAUUAUAAGACACCACUUCACAUCCAUUAGGAUAGCUAUAAUAAUAAUUUUAAAACAGCAGAACAUAAGUGUUGGUAAGGAUAUGGUGAAAUUGGAACCCUUGUACUUUGCUGAUGAGAAUUUAAAUGCUGCUGCCACUCUGAACUACAAUUUGACAGUUCCUCAAUAAAUUAAACAUAGAAUUACCAUAGGACCCAGUAAGUAAACUCAGGUUUAUACACAAAGUAUUUGAAAGCAGAUAUUCAAACAAAAAUGUAGAGAUGGAUGUUCAUAGGAGUGCUGUGCACAAUAGCCAAAAGGUGGAAACAACUCAAAUGACCAUUAACAAGUGGAUAAACAAAAUAGGGUAGACUGAGCUACCUACAUGCACUGUGCAGUGCCAGAGAGGUCAACCAGAAUCAAGAUGUCUGGCACUGAGGAAGCAAUUUUUGGAGAGCGUGACAGCCAUUCUGCUGUUCAUGGCAGUUCAGUAUGCUUUGGACAGUGCCAGUACACAGUAGAAGAGUACUAGGCCAUCCAGAAGGCCCUGAGGCAAAGGCUGGGCCCAGAAUACAUAAGUAGUGCGUGACUGGAGGAGGCCAGAGGUGUGUUACAUUGAGGGUCAUUGGGUAAUUAAUCUGGCCUAUGACAUGUUUGGUUACAACGGUGGGGCACACUCCAUCACACAGCAGAAUGUGGAUUUUGUUGACCUCAACAAUGGCAAGUUCUACAUGGGAGUCUGUACAUUUGUGAGGGUCCAGUUGAAGGAUGGUUCAUAUCAUGAAGCUGUGGGUUAUGGUGUUAGGGCCUCCAGUCCAAGGCCUUAUCUUUGGAGAAGGCAAGGAAGGAGGCAGUGACAGAAGGGCUGAAGUGAGCCCUCAGGAGUUUUUGUAAUGCACUUGGAAACUGUAUUUUGGACAGAGACUACUUGAGGUCACUAAACAAGCUUCCAUGCCAGUUGCCUCUUGAAGUGGAUUAAACUAAAGCAAAGAGAUAAGAUUUUGAACCACCUGUGGAAUAGGCAAGAUACAACAGCUGCCAACUGAACAUGACCCUGGGACACCCACAACUUCAAGUGGUGACCUUCCCUUGCGGACCAAGCCAUGUUGUGAUUCAGGGGGACAAGGAUUGUAGCUUUCCAACUUCUGAGCUCACCCACUGUUGGUGAGAGAGGCCACGUACCAGCAGAAGCUCUGGCAAAAGCAGCUGCAGCAGCAGUUCCGGGAGCAGAUGAAGAAACAGCAAGUCCACACCUUUUUGCCGUCAGUUGAGAAGUGAGGAGACUCUUGGAGACAACUCUGAAAUCUGGGAUGUGACUCCAGAUGCAGGGGAUGGUGUGGUCAAGAUUUGUCUAGAGAAGAACCACCCCAGACCUCUGACACACCAGCCUUGAACAACCAGAUGGUGACCCAGAACAGGACUCCACACAGCCUACGCUGCCAGAAACCACAAGCAAAAUCUGGAUCUUGAGACCUCCAAACUUACAGCACUGACCAGUGCAUAACAAGAAACUGGGAAGCUCAUAGGAAGGGCCAGGACAUAAAGAAAAGGAAAUUGGAUACAUCUUAACUGAGCCUCUGACUAAAUCAUUGGACUCUGUCACAAAGGGACUUUGGAAAACUACUUUUUGGUCAUGAAAUUGUUCAUCACUCAUGGAGAAUUAACUUUAUUGCUAAGGAUUUAUCGUGCUUCAAUUUGAACCUCAUCAAUAGGAUCUGACUGAGAGCCUACUGCAGUUAGAGCUGAGCACUUUUAAAAACCUCAUCCCACACUCUAGUUGGGAGAGGCUCUGGACAGAUGAAACACCUUUUCUUUGGCUUGUGAGGCUUCCCACUAUUUAUUUCUAAACUAUUAUGUUAACACCGAUGGACAUUUUAGGAAUCACAAAUGGCUGCUUGCCCUCCAGCAAUAUAGGCCAGACUUAGUACUAACCACCUGCCUCAGCAAUUACCUACAUUCAAUUGCUUUGCAUAACCUCUGCCUUCUUUCCUUUAGGGCACCAAGCAUUUAAUAUUGUCCACAUUAAGCACUGAGGAUCAUGACAGGAAAAAGGUUGGAGUAGCGCUUUUUACUGCUUUGUAUCAAUCCAGGCUACAAUCUUCAUUUAAUAUAAAUAAACUCACUUAUGGGUUUAUGGCAU